GGAACGAUGGUGCAGUGGGUAGCACUGUUGCCUCACAGCAAGGAGUUCCUGGGUUCGAGUCCCGGCCUGGGCCU
rnacentral:tRNA from 1 species